UGGCCAGAUAAGGGAAUAAAGGCAGGCUGCUGGAGCCAGCAGUGGCAACCUGCUGAGGUCACGUUGUACACUGUGGAGGCUUUGUGCUUUUGCUUGUUGCAGUAACUCUUGCUGUUGCCCACUGUUUGGGUCCACACUGACUUUAUGAGCUGUAGCAGUCACCGUGAAGGUCUGCAGCUUCACUCCUGAGGCCAACAAGACCACGAACCCUCCAGGAGGAAUAAACAACUCUGGACAGGAGAAACGAACAACUCCAGACGCGGCCGGACGUGCCAUCUUAAGAGUUGUAACACUCACUGCAAAGGUCUGCGGCUUCACUCUUGAAGCCAGCAAGACCACGAACCCACCAGAAGGAAGAAACUCUGAACACGUCCGAACAUCAGAAAGAACGGACUUCGGACACACCAUCUUUAAGAACUGUAACACUCACUGCGAGGGUCCGCGGCUUCAUUCUUGAAGAGUCAGUCAGACCAACAACCCACCAAUUUCGGACACAGUUAUACAUGGCUGUCUGUAUGAGGAACUUAAAGAUGAAGAGGAAACUCACCCGAGUUCACUCAGUUAAUAAACAGGAAACAUAUCCUACUCCUAAACCAUCCACUCCGCCCUCUGCUUCUGGACAGAGAUCUUUCAUGAGUGUUGGUUGGUGACAAGAACAUGAAACUACAUAGUUUGGAAAAUUUUCAGCUUUAAGUCAAGUUGAUGACCAAAGGUUAGCAAAUAUUCCUCAUUUAUUAUCUGCAAGUGGGAAGACAUAACAUAUAUAGAUUUCCAAGCCACAGCAUUCCAAACUUCCUUUUAUAUUUUCAUUUAUUUUUCCUAUAAAAUAUAUUUAACCAAAGAUGUUAAAUGUCUCUUAGGCAAUAGGAUAUCUUUCAACCAGAAGCUACUACUGAUUAGAUUGACUAGUCUCCAGGUUUCCUUUCCACCCACAAGAUUAUCAUUUUCUUAGACAAUGAAGUUAGUGGGGAGAGAGAGACAGAUGAUCAGUAAGCUUAUAUAACUAGGCCUUGAGUAAUCAUAAGUUUAUCAUUUUUUUCCCAGUAAAUAAAGCAAGAAGAGAUAGGAGAUGCUGUAUCUUUUAUUUUUAUCAAAAAAUCCUAAUGAGAAUUAGAUUUUAAAAAAGAGUCAUGCAUCACUUAAAGACAAACAUUUGUUCUGAGAAGUAAGUCAUUACACAAUUUCAUCAUGGUGUGAAAAUCAUAGAGUGUACUUAUACAGACUUAAAUGUUAUAGCUGACUACAUACCUGGACUAUAGGGUAUAGUCUAUUGCUGCUAGGCUACAAACCUGUACGGCAUGUUACUGUACUGAAUACUGUAGGCAAUUGAAACACAAUGGUAUUCGUGUAUCUAAACAUACUUAAACAUACAAAAGGUACAAUAAAAACACAGUAUAAAAGAUUUUUUUAAGUGGUACACCUGUGUAGGGUACUAACAUGAAUAGAGCUUGGAGGUCUGGAAGUUGCUCUUGAGAGUCAAUGAGUAAUGAAUGAAUGUGAAAGCCUACAACAUUAUUGUAUACUACUGUAGAUUUUAUAAAUACUGUAUGCUUAGGCCACUCUAGGUUUGUUAGAAAAUUUUCUGUCUUAAAUAAAAAACUAACCUUAGUGUACUAGAACUUUUUUACUUUAUAAAUUUUUCAAAUUUUUAAACCUUUUGGCUCUUAAAUAAUGCUUAGCUUAAAUCACAAACACAUGUACAGCUGUAUAAAAUAAUUUCUUUAUGGGCCAGACACAGUGGCUUAUGCCUGUAAUCCCAGCACUUUGGGAGGCUGAGGCGGGCAGAUCACAAGGUUAGGAGAUUGAGCCCAUCCUGGCUAACACGGUGAAACCCCGUCUCUACUAAAAAUACAAAAAAUUAGCCGGGCAUGGUGGCGUGCACCUGUAGUACCAGCUACUCGGGAGGCUGAGGCAGGAAAAUGGUGUGAACCCGGGAGGCAGAGCUUAUAGUGAGCGGAGAUCACACCACUGCAUUCCAGCCUGGGUGACAGAGAGAGACUCCGUUUCAAAAAUUAAAACUAAAUAAAUAAAUAAAUAAUAAAUAAAUAAUUUCUUUACAUCUUAUUCUAUUUUGAAUUUUUUAAGCUUUUAAACCUUUUAUUAAAAAUUAAGAACCAAACACACACCAUAGUCUAGGCCUACAUGGAGUCAGGAUUAUCAAUAUCACUGUCUUCUACCUCCACAUCUUGUCCCACUGAAAUGUCUUCAGCAACAAUAACACACAUGAAGCUGUCAUCUCCUAUGACAACAAUGCGUUCUUUUGGAAUACUUCCUGAGGGACCACCACAAUCCCAUGGAUAGUGAGUGAUACUACAAUGUUAAGACAGCCAUGACAUCACUAGGCAGUAGGAAUUGUUCAGCUCUAUUGUAAUCUUACAGGACCACGGUUGUAUAUGUGGUCCGUCAUUGACCAAAAUGUUGUUAUGCAAUGCAAAGCUGUAUGUCAGGCAGUUUGUUUUGCAAAAUUAGCAUCAAUAUUUGCCUGUGGCCUGUAAUGUAACACAAAUGUUACAUACUGUUUUCUAUUGAUUCUUGUAUCACCUCUAUACUCGUCUAAUUAUCCUCUAUAUGUAAACUUUAAUUAUGGUUUAUAGAUAAUUAACUUUUUAUUAUAUUAACAAAUAUAACUCUUUACAUUACAAAUGCCUAAGAGAAUACAAGUUUCUAAUAGUUUAACAUUAUUUCAUGGAUUUCUAUAUAUUCCUGCCAUAUAAGAGAACAUCUUGGAAGAAAAGAGAGCAUCUUCCAGUGAAUUUUUCUCCAUGAAGAUCAUGCUGAAUUUCAUCUUUCCAUUGAUUUUUCCCCUCUAUUCCUCUAUAGGGUUAUGAUCAUUGGGCAGCUUGGUAACCUACUUCAGACAACAUUUAGUAUAGCAGUAAAUAUGUGUGAGCACUGAAGAAUAAAACUAAACAAUAAUAGCUAGAAGAAAUUGAUUUAAAACAUUUAACAACAAUAAUUUUUCAUUUCAUUUGCUAUAAGCGAUAUGUUUAUUCUAAACAAAUGAAAAAUAAUUGGUGGAAGGUAUUUUGUCACUCACCAGGCCAGCAGUGACAAGUGUAAUUGUCAACACUGUCCUCACAUGUAGCAUUAUUGUGACAAGGUUUUGACCAACAAAGAGGCAUCAAGGUCUCACAGUGUGUCCCUGUGAAUCCACUACCCGUGCAGUUACAGCUAUAUCUGGAAAGUAAAUGAAAUUUUCGUGUCAACUCUUGGUCAUAUUGAGAUCAGAUAUCUUUAUACUGUUUCUUCAUCUGUCCAUCAACCCAAGACCCAUGGCAUAGUCUUACUACCUCAAAAACUCUGGGGAAUUAUCUAUACAGGACUGAAUGCAUGAUUUAUUUCCAUAUUAAUGUCUUAUUAAUUUUAAAAAAUUUAAAGUACAGGUUCAUGCAAACCAUGACUAUUUACUUCAGUUUCUUCAUUCAUAAAUUGAAUAUAGUAUCUAUAUUACAAGGUUAUUGUAACAAUUAAGUAUGCAUAUAAAGAAUAGACACAGUAUCCGCAUAUCUGAAGUACUAAAUAUGUUGCUACUAAAUAGCACUUAAUAAAAUUGUUAAUAUUUUUUAAGGUGGUAGAGAAUGAUUUAUACCAUCAUGGCACUCUGUUAUACAGAGAGCCCAUUAAUAAGGUUCCAUAUGAAAAGUGAAACCAUAAAUUAUGAAAAACUCAGGAAAAGCCUUUAUUAAAUGAAUUGUGACUUACGAUGUUCUCUUAUUUUUAGAUUGCAAGAAUAUUUAGGCCUUACUAUUUCUAAUUAUUAACGCAAUGACUGGAAUUAUCAAAUAGCCCCAAAAUACAAAUCUAAUGAAGAAAGUUGUUGAUUUUAUUAAGAGGAGACUUUUAAUUUAGGUGGGGGUCUCCUCGAGGAUUUAGUAUUGUAAAAAAUGUACCUGCACACUCAGCUUAGGCAAAAUGAGGGUCUUGGGAAAAGAAUAUCUAUGAAUUUAUAAGGCAGGUAAAGUCCUCUUCGCUAUGGCUGUGUGUGUUUUUAUCACCAAAGCAAAUAUUGUAAGUGACUGUAAUCUUUAUAUGUGUUGUUAGAAAUCUAUUCAGUAUUCCAUUUGUUCAAUUAAAAAAUACCUACUAAAAAUCUAGUAUAGGUAAAACAUUAGCGACAAAAACCCUGUGCUCAAAGGGCUUGGCUGGCUGACUAGUGGACCUCACGAAAUUAGAAGCUCCAUUUGCAUAAUUCCUUUGGUCUGCAAGAAGUUCUUUUUUUUUUUUCAGUUCUGAUUUUCCAAUAUAUCUCAUAGCAAACAUUUUAAAUUUUUGUGGGAACAUAAAGUCAGGUUGUAUUGGAUUGAUCUUAUGACUAUCAUCUCAACAUUUAGGCAAUAAGAGAUAAUGGUACAAUAGGGAAAUUAUUCAUGGCAUAUUCAAGUGAGGAGAACAAAAGAUAGCAAAGUUUCAGCCUUGUUUACAUUUCCAUUGGAAUCAAAAAGUUGUGUCAUUUCUGUCCUGAUGCUUUCUGGAAACAGUGAAGUAUGGAAGGGUAAGCCUCCUUUUCCUCUAGGAGGCCUUGUGUGGAAACUUCCACUGUGACCUGUCUGUCUCUGUGUUGGCCAGUUACCUGUCUCCAGGAAUGUAGAUUUAUGCCCCUAGAGCAUUACUGGGGUGCAACUAAAAGUCAAAGGCAAGACAUGGAAUGUAAUUAAAAGUUAUAUUUUAAAAAGAAUGUACAACCACAUUGUUCUAUUAAAAUUUGAGAGCCAGGCGCAGUGGCUCACACCUGUAAUCCCAACACUUCGGGAGGCAGAGGCGGGUAGAUCACCUGCAGUCAGGAGUUCGAGACCAGCCUCGCCAACAUGGUGAAACCCUAUCUCUACUAAAGAUACCAAAAUUAGCCAGGCAUGGUGGUGGGCAUAUGUAAUACCAGCUACUCAGGAGACUGAGGCAGGAGAAUUGCUUGAACCGGGAGGUGGAGGUUGUGGUGAACCAAGAUCACACCACUGCACUCCAGCCUGGGUGACACAGCAAGACUCCAUCUCAAAAAAAAAGUCAUUAUUUUUGCAAAUUUUUGAAGCAUAUGUGCCUUUUAUUGCUCUCCUUUUGACUCUGAUUCACUUUGAAAUUAGAUUUGGCAUAAAUUAUGUCUUAUUUACUAAAUAAAGGAAAACCAUUCUGGUCUUCCUUUUGCAAAGAAUUAAUUGUGUGAACUUGUGGGCAUCUUCUCAUUUCCCUAAACUUUAGACUCCUUAUUGUAAUAUGGAAACAUAAAUACUUAUCUUGCCUUCCACUGAGCUGUUGAAGAAUCAAACAAGAUAAUUUUAAGUGCUAAUCUUGUUAAAAAUUGUUAUGCAUUUGGUAACUCAGCAUCGUGGCUUAAAUAAAGGUUAGAAAGUUC